AGACAUCCCCGACGCGGGUAAAAGUGUAGCAUCUGUUCUUACGAGCCUAAUAUCUGAUACGGGUUGUAUUUGAACCUAGAUAUUAAACUUAUUGUUGUAAGUUGACGGAAUGCUUAAAGCCUGCUUUACCCCCACCGCGGGUCGGUCCUGCACUGCACUAUCUUUGGGAUCGGCCCAAGUAUG